rnacentral:rRNA from 1 species
GAAUAUUGGACAAUGGAGGAAACUCUGAUCCAGCCAUGCCGCGUGAGUGAAGAAGGCCUUAGGGUUGUAAAGCUCUUUCAAUUGUGAAGAUAAUGACGGUAGCAAUAGAAGAAGCCCCGGCUAAAUUCGUGCCAGCAGCCGCGGUAAUACGAAUGGGGCAAGCGUUGGUCGGAAUCACUGGGCUUAAAGCGUGCGGAGGCGGACUAACAAGUCAGGAGUGAAAUCCCAGGGCUCAACCUUGGAACUGCUCUUGAAACUGUAAGUCUAGAAUCCGGGAGAGGUCAGGAGAAUUCCUAGUGUAGAGGUGAAAUUCGCAGAUAUUAGGAGGAAUACCAGUGGCGUAGGCGCCUGACUGGACCGGCAUUGACGCUGAGGUACGAAAGCGUGGGGAGCAAACAGG